UACGGAGGGUGCAAGCGUUAAUCGGAAUUACUGGGCGCAAAGCGUGCGUAGGCGGUUCGUUAAGUCUGUUGUGAAAGCCCCGGGCUCAACCUGGGAAUGGCAAUGGAUACUGGCGAGCUAGAGUGUGUCAGAGGAUGGUGGAAUUCCCGGUGUAGCGGUGAAAUGCGUAGAGAUCGGGAGGAACAUCAGUGGCGAAGGCGGCCAUCUGGGACAACACUGACGCUGAGGCACGAAAGCGUGAGGAGCAAACAGG
rnacentral:rRNA from 1 species